rnacentral:tRNA from 2 species
GUUUCCGUAGCUCAGUUGGUAGAGCAACUGACUCUUAAUCAGUGGGUCAAGGGUUCGAGCCCCUUCGGGAAUA